rnacentral:rRNA from 1 species
GACGAACGCUGGCGGCGUGCUUAACACAUGCAAGUCGAACGGAAAGGCCCUGCUUUUGUGGGGUGCUCGAGUGGCGAACGGGUGAGUAACACGUGAGUAACCUGCCCUUGACUUUGGGAUAACUUCAGGAAACUGGGGCUAAUACCGGAUAGGAGCUCCUGCUGCAUGGUGGGGGUUGGAAAGUUUCGGCGGUUGGGGCUGGACUCGCGGCUUAUCAGCUUGUUGGUGGGGUAGUGGCUUACCAAGGCUUUGACGGGUAGCCGGCCUGAGAGGGUGAACGGCGACAUGGGGCCUGCGAGACGCACCAGAGGGCAAUGUUAGGCAGUAGGGGGGAACAUUGCACAAUCGGCGGACGCCGGAUGCAGCAACGUUGCGGGUGUGAUGACGUUUUUCGGGGUGUAAACAGCUGUCGCUUGUGACGAAGCUGUAGUGACGGUAAUGGGUAAAUAAGCACCGGCUAACUACGUG